rnacentral:rRNA from 1 species
GGUUCAUUCAAAUUUCUGCCCUAUCAACUUUCGAUGGUAAGGUAUUGGCUUACCAUGGUUUCAACGGGUAACGGGGAAUUAGGGUUCGAUUCCGGAGAGGGAGCCUGAGAAACGGCUACCACAUCCAAGGAAGGCAGCAGGCGCGCAAAUUACCCAAUCCCGACCGGGGAGGUAGUGACAAUAAAUACUGAUACAGGGCUCUUUUGGGUCUUGUAAUUGGAAUGAGUACAAUUUAAACCUCUUAACGAGGAACAAUUGGAGGGCAAGUCUGGUGCCAGCAGCCGGGUAAUUCCAGCUCCAAUAGCGUAUAUUAAAGUUGUUGCAGUUAAAAAGCUCGUAGUUG